GAUGAACGCUGGCGGCGUGCCUAAUACAUGCAAGUCGAGCGAACGGACGAGAAGCUUGCUUCUCUGAUGUUAGCGGCGGACGGGUGAGUAACACGUGGAUAACCUACCUAUAAGACUGGGCUAACUUCGGGACACCGGAGCUAAUACCGGAUAAUAUUUUGAACCGCAUGGUUCAAAAGUGAAAGACGGUCUUGCUGUCACUUAUAGAUGGAUCCGCGCUGCAUUAGCUAGUUGGUAAGGUAACGGCUUACCAAGGCAACGAUGCAUAGCCGACCUGAGAGGGUGAUCGGCCACACUGGAACUGAGACACGGUCCAGACUCCUACGGGAGGCAGCAGUAGGGAAUCUUCCGCAAUGGGCGAAAGCCUGACGGAGCAACGCCGCGUGAGUGAUGAAGGUCUUCGGAUCGUAAAACUCUGUUAUUAGGGAAGAACAUAUGUGUAAGUAACUGUGCACAUCUUGACGGUACCUAAUCAGAAAGCCACGGCUAACUACGUG
rnacentral:rRNA from 1 species